rnacentral:rRNA from 1 species
GAUGAACGCUGGCGGCGUGCCUAAUACAUGCAAGUCGAGCGAACAGACGAGGAGCUUGCUCCUCUGACGUUAGCGGCGGACGGGUGAGUAACACGUGGAUAACCUACCUAUAAGACUGGGAUAACUUCGGGAAACCGGAGCUAAUACCGGAUAAUAUAUUGAACCGCAUGGUUCAAUAGUGAAAGACGGUUUUGCUGUCACUUAUAGAUGGAUCCGCGCCGCAUUAGCUAGUUGGUAAGGUAACGGCUUACCAAGGCAACGAUGCGUAGCCGACCUGAGAGGGUGAUCGGCCACACUGGACCUGAGACACGGUCCAGACUCCUACGAGAGGCAGCAGUAGGGAAUCUGCCGCAAUGGGCGAAAGCCUGACGGAGCAACGCCGCGUGAGUGAUGAAGGUCUUCGGAUCGUAAAACUCUGUUAUUAGGGAAGAACAAAUGUGUAAGUAACUAUGCACGUCUUGACGGUACCUAAUCAGAAAGCCACGGCUAACUACGUG